GACGAACGCUGGCGGCGUGCUUAACACAUGCAAGUCGAACGGAAAGGUCCUGCUUGCAGGGUACUCGAGUGGCGAACGGGUGAGUAACACGUGGGUGAUCUGCCCUGCACUUCGGGAUAAGCUUGGGAAACUGGGUCUAAUACCGGAUAGGACCGCACUUUAGUGUGUGUGGUGGAAAGUUUUUUCGGUGUAGGAUGAGCUCGCGGCCUAUCAGCUUGUUGGUGGGGUAAUGGCCUACCAAGGCGGCGACGGGUAGCCGGCCUGAGAGGGUGUACGGCCACAUUGGGACUGAGAUACGGCCCAGACUCCUACGGGAGGCAGCAGUGGGGAAUAUUGCACAAUGGGCGCAAGCCUGAUGCAGCGACGCCGCGUGGGGGAUGAAGGCCUUCGGGUUGUAAACUCCUUUCGCUAGGGACGAAGCUUUGUUGUGACGGUACCUAGAUAAGAAGCACCGGCUAACUACGUG
rnacentral:rRNA from 1 species